rfam:Gossypium raimondii Chr06_contig_837, whole genome shotgun sequence.
CAUAAGCAAUGGCUUGGUUAAGGGAACCCACCGGAGCCGUAGCGAAAGCGAGUCUUCAUAGGGCAAUUGUCAUUGCUUAUGGACCCAAACUUGGGUGAUCUAUCCAUGACCAGGAUGAAGCUUAGGUGAAACUAAGUGGAGGUCUGAAUUGACUGAUGUUGAAGAAUCAAAGGAUGAGUUGUGGUUAGGGGUGAAAUGCCACUCGAAUCCAGAGCUAGCUGG